GUUUUACUUUCGCGGUAGGUAAACUGAGUGUUCCGUGCAUUGCGUCUAUAUCGAAGCCCAGAAACUCUAUCGAGUGGGAAGGUUGCAGGAUCGAUUUGUCCCAAUUGAUUAGGAAACCCAGGUUUUGCAGAAGGAUCAACACCCAGGAUAGAUGUUGGUUCAGUAGCUGGGUGUCCUGGGCCAUGAUCAGCAUGUCGUCGAGGUAUAUGAUCAGACGUACACCUCUGCUGCGAAGGAGGGCGACUACCGGUUUCAGCAGCUUGGUGAAGCACCACGGGGCUGAAGACAGGCCGAAAGGGAGGCAGCGGAAACGCCACAUCGUCUGUUCCCAUUGGAAUUGAAGUAGGUGUUGACAGUCCUCGGCAAUCGGUAUCGUGAGGCAUG